rnacentral:rRNA from 1 species
UGGGGAAUCUUGCGCAAUGCGCGAAAGCGUGACGCAGCAACGCCGCGUGGGGGAAGAAGGCUCUCGGGUUGUAAACCCCUUUCAGUUGGGACGAAGCUUCGUCGGUGAAUAGCCGACUGGAGUGACGGUACCUUCACAAGAAGCACCGGCUAACUACGUGCCAGCAGCCGCGGUAAUACGUAGGGUGCAAGCGUUGUCCGGAAUCAUUGGGCGUAAAGAGCGUGUAGGCGGUCCGAUUAGUCCGCUGUGAAAGUCCAGGGCUCAACCCUGGAAUGCCGGUGGAUACUGUUGGACUAGAGUCCGGAAGGGGCGAGUGGAAUUCCUGGUGUAGCGGUGAAAUGCGCAGAUAUCAGGAGGAACACCAAUGGCGAAGGCAGCUCGCUGGGACGGUACUGACGCUGAGACGCGAAAGCGUGGGGAGCAAACAGGAUUAGAUACCCCCGUAGUCC